rnacentral:rRNA from 1 species
UACGUAGGGUGCAAGCGUUGUCCGGAAUUAUUGGGCGUAAAGAGCUCGUAGGCGGUUCGUCGCGUCGGCUGUGAAAUCCCGAGGCUCAACCUCGGGUCUGCAGUCGAUACGGGCGGACUGGAGUUCGGCAGGGGAGACUGGAAUUCCUGGUGUAGCGGUGAAAUGCGCAGAUAUCAGGAGGAACACCGGUGGCGAAGGCGGGUCUCUGGGCAGUAACUGACGCUGAGGAGCGAAAGCGUGGGGAGCGAACAGG